rnacentral:rRNA from 1 species
UACGUAGGGGGCUAGCGUUGUCCGGAUUUAUUGGGCGUAAAGAGCGUGUAGGCGGCCAGGUAGGUCUGGUGUGAAAACUCGAGGCUUAACCUCGAGAUGUCAUCGGAAACCAUCUGGCUAGAGUCCGGAAGAGGAGAGUGGAAUUCCUGGUGUAGCGGUGAAAUGCGCAGAUAUCAGGAAGAACACCAAUGGCGAAAGCAGCUCUCUGGGACGGUACUGACGCUGAGACGCGAAAAGCGUGGGG